rnacentral:tRNA from 1 species
CGGAGUAGCUCAGUUGGUAGAGCAGCGCAUUCGUAAUGCGAAGGUCGGGGGUUCGAUUCCUCUCUCCGG